UCAUUUCAGAGCAAAAAUGGAUUUUUAAGUUUAAGGUACAGAGCUGUUUUACAGUGAGCAUUUGAGGUUACGUGAUGGUUUGACUGUUUUAUAGGGCAAUACAGUUUAUUGUUUUUAGCUGAAAACGGCAACAGUUGUAGUAAUUAAUUUGAAAUUAUCUCAGGAAUUAAGUGCAACUAAUCCGGAUCAACUAGACUUAAUUCCUAUAAUUCAAGAGGGUUAGAGGAAUUUUCAAUGGCAGCACUACCGAAAAACACAGUUAAUAUCUAUUGUGAAUAAAAAAUUAUAAAACUUAAAAAGGAGAGCAAAAAAGGCGGAAAACAAUCUGGAACAAUAUGAUGAGCACUACAGCAAUGAGAAGCAGAAUGAAACGUUUAACUCGGACGAACAGCCGUUCAUAGCUAAAUGAGGAGAACGUGCAUAUGAUUUGCGGAGGACAAAAAUAAAUGCUCACAUAUAAAUGACGUUGCUGUCGAAAUGUCACUUAUGGUCGAAAUGGCAGGCAAAUACAAUGCGGUGAAGAUCCAUAUAAAAAUAAAAAACUUUACGAAGAAAUAUAGAGGAGGGAAAGAAGAAACACGUUCGAAAUUUUAUUAAUUGUUUUGAUAUUUCGGAAUAGUUUGAGAAAUUGCAAUUUAAAUUUCUUUUUAAUAAUAAUUUUUCAGUAACAGUGCAGCUAAUAACCAUA